GAGACACCCUUAUGGAGCAGUACUUGCUUCAGUGGGGCUUUGGUGCUCACUGAGUCUGCUCUGUGAGUGUGUCGCU
rfam:Myotis brandtii contig313829, whole genome shotgun sequence.